rnacentral:rRNA from 1 species
UCAGGAUACCUUCGGGACCCGUCUUGAAACACGGACCAAGGAGUCUAACAUAUGUGCAAGUUAUUGGGAGAUAAACCUAAUAGCGUAAUUAACUUGACUAAUAAUGGGAUUAGUUUUUUAACUAUUUAUAGAUAAUUAACACAAUCCCGGGGCGUUCUAUAUAGUUAUGUAUAAUAAUAUUUAUAUUAUUUAUGCCUCUAACUGGAACGUACCUUGAGCAUAUAUGCUGUGACCCGAAAGAUGGUGAACUAUACUUGAUCAGGUUGAAGUCAGGGGAAACCCUGAUGGAAGACCGAAACAGUUCUGACGUGCAAAUCGAUUGUCAGAAUUGAGUAUAGGGGCGAAAGACCAAUCGAACCAUCUAGUAGCUGGUUCCUUCCGAAGUUUCCCUCAGGAUAGCUGGUGCAUUUUAAUGUUAUAUAAAAUAAUCUUAUCUGGUAAAGCGAAUGAUUAGAGGCCUUAGGGUCGAAACGAUCUUAACCUAUUCUCAAACUUUAAAUGGGUAAGAACCUUAACUUUCUUGAUAUGAAGUUUAAGGUUAUGAUAUAAUGUGCCCAGUGGGCCACUUUUGGUAAGCAGAACUGGCGCUGUGGGAUGAACCAAACGUAAUGUUACGGUGCCCAAAUUAACAACUCAUGCAGAAACCAUGAAAGGCGUUGGUUGCUUAAAACAGCAGGACGGUGAUCAUGGAAGUCGAAAUCCGCUAAGGAGUGUGUAACAACUCACCUGCCGAAGCAACUAGCCCUUAAAAUGGAUGGCGCUUAAGUUGUAUACCUAUUCAUUACCGCUAAAGUAGAUGAUUUAUAUUACUUGUGAUAUAAAUUUUGAAACUUUAGUGAGUAGGAAGGUACAAUGGUAUGCGUAGAAGUGUUUGGCGUAAGCCUUCAUGGAGCUGCCAUUGGCACAGAUCUUGGUGGUAGUAGCAAAUAAUCGAAUGAGACCUUGGAGGACUGAAGUUGGAGAAGGGUUUCGUGUGAACAGUGGUUGAUCACGAGUUAGUCGGUCCUAAGUUCAAGGCGAAAGCCGAAAAUUUUCAAGUAAAAAAUCAGUGAGUAAUAUUGUCAAAUCUUUUAUGAUUUUUAAAUACUUGAAUAAUUUUGAACGAAAGGGAAUACGGUUCCAAUUCCGUAACCUGUUGAGUAUCCGUUUGUUAUUAAAUAUGGGCCUCGUGCUCAUCCUGGCAACAGGAACGACCAUAAAGAAGCCGUCGAGAGAUAUCGGAAGAGUUUUCUUUUCUGUUUUAUAGCCGUACUACCAUGGAAGUCUUUCGCAGAGAGAUAUGGUAGAUGGGCUAGAAGAGCAUGACAUAUACUGUUGUGUCGAUAUUUUCUCCUCGGACCUUGAAAAUUUAUGGUGGGGACACGCAAACUUCUCAACAGGCCAUACCAAUAUCCGCAGCUGGUCUCCAAGGUGAAGAGUCUCUAGUCGAUAGAAUAAUGUAGGUAAGGGAAGUCGGCAAAUUAGAUCCGUAACUUCGGGAUAAGGAUUGGCUCUGAAGAUUGAGAUAGUCGGGCUUGAUUGGGAAACAAUAACAUGGUUUAUGUGCUCGUUCUGGGUAAAUAGAGUUUCUAUCAUUUAUGGUAGUUACUUGUUCCCCGGAUAGUUUAGUUACGUAGCCAAUUGUGGAACUUUCUUGCUAAAAUUUUUAAGAAUACUAAUUGGGUUAAACCAGUUAGUUCUUAUUAAUUAUAACGAUUAUCAAUUAACAAUCAAUUCAGAACUGGCACGGACUUGGGGAAUCCGACUGUCUAAUUAAAACAAAGCAUUGUGAUGGCCCUAGCGGGUGUUGACACAAUGUGAUUUCUGCCCAGUGCUCUGAAUGUCAAAGUGAAGAAAUUCAAGUAAGCGCGGGUCAACGGCGGGAGUAACUAUGACUCUCUUAAGGUAGCCAAAUGCCUCGUCAUCUAAUUAGUGACGCGCAUGAAUGGAUUAACGAGAUUCCUACUGUCCCUAUCUACUCGCUUUUUGACUGCCAUUCGAAGCAGACGUGUUUUUCAAGCGGUCCGCUAUACCGUCGU